rnacentral:rRNA from 1 species
UACGUAGGUGGCAAGCGUUGUCCGGAUUUAUUGGGUUUAAAGGGUGCGUAGGCGGCCCUGUAAGUCAGUGCUGAAAUAUCCCAGCUUAACUGGGAGGGUGGCAUUGAUACUGCGGGGCUAGAGUACAGAUGAGGUAGGCGGAAUUGACGGUGUAGCGGUGAAAUGCUUAGAUAUCGUCAAGAACACCGAUAGCGAAGGCAGCUUACUGGGCUGUAACUGACGCUGAGGCACGAAAGUGUGGGGAUCAAACAGG